rnacentral:rRNA from 1 species
GAUGAACGCUGGCGGCGUGCCUAAUACAUGCAAGUCGAGCGAAUGGAUUAAGAGCUUGCUCUUAUGAAGUUAGCGGCGGACGGGUGAGUAACACGUGGGUAACCUGCCCAUAAGACUGGGAUAACUCCGGGAAACCGGGGCUAAUACCGGAUAACAUUUUGAACCGCAUGGUUCGGAUUCGAAAGGCGGCUUCGGCUGUCACCUAUGGAUGGACCCGCGUCGCAUUCGCUAGUGGGUGAGGUAACGGCUCACCAAGGCAACGAUGCGUAGCCGACCUGAGAGGGUGAUCGGCCACACUGGGACUGAGACACGGCCCAGACUCCUACGGGAGGCAGCAGUAGGGAAUCUUCCGCAAUGGACGAAAGUCUGACGGAGCAACGCCGCGUGAGUGAUGAAGGCUUUCGGGUCGUAAAACUCUGUUGUUAGGGAAGAACAAGUGCUAGUUGAAUAAGCUGACACCUUGACGGUACCUAACCAGAAAGCCACGGCUAACUACGUGCCAGCCGCCGCCGUAA